rnacentral:rRNA from 1 species
CCUACGGGAGGCAGCAGUGGGGAAUAUUGCACAAUGGGGGAAACCCUGAUGCAGCGACGCCGCGUGAGUGAAGAAGUAUUUCGGUAUGUAAAGCUCUAUCAGCAGGGAAGAAAAUGACGGGACCUGUUUACGCAGCACCGGCUAACUACGGGCCAGCAGCCGCGGGAAUACGUCGGGCGCAAGCGUUAUCCGGAUUUACUGGGUGUAAAGGGAGCGUAGACGGCAGCACAAGUCUGGAGUGAAAUGCCGGGGCUUAACCCCGGAACUGCUUUGGAAACUGUGCAGCUUGAGUGCAGGAGAGGUAAGUGGAAUUCCUGGUGUAGCGGUGAAAUGCGUAGAGAUUAGGAGGAACACCAGUGGCGAAGGCGGCUUACUGGACUGUAACUGACGUUGAGGCUCGAAAGCGUGGGGAGCAAACAGGAUUAGAUACCCUGGUAGUC